AACGCACCUUGCGCCUUUUGGUAUUCCGAGAGGCAUGCCUGUUUGAGUGUCAUUAAAUUCUCAACUUCAAAAGCUUUUGUUUUUGAAGCUUGGAUGUGGAGGCUUUUGCUGGCUCUUCUAGAGUCGGCUCCUCUGAAAUGCAUUAGUGGAAACUGUUUGCAAUCCGCAUUGGUGUGAUAAUUAUCUACGCUUGUGUGUGUGGUUGCAGCUCUUUACGAGUUUAGUAUCUGCUUCAAACCGUCCUAAGUCACUGGACAACUUUGAACCUUUUGACCUCAAAUCAGGUAGGACUACCCGCUGAACUUAA
rnacentral:misc_RNA from 1 species